UGCCUGCUUAAUAGUGACUUUGUUGCUAUUGAGUUUUAUUUCGGGAACUUUCUGGAUACUCUGCUUCCUCUUACGGGGAGGUUUGGACUUUGAAGGAUAGUAUCCGCGAAUUUUUGUAUCAGUUUUGGCGACCCAGAUGGGACCAUCUCUGUCCGGCUGCAGGACCCCCUGAGUCGGAGACUCCCUUGGCCGGCCCCGGAUAAUUCUCUGGAGGGACUCCCCGAUUCGGCGGAUCCGUGCAGGGGCAGACAAGGACCUCUGGGACAGAGACAGCUCGGGAAUGACCGGAAAGAAGCCAUUUGCAGGACUCCAGAACCGACCACGGUAAAAGAACUUCGAACCUUUCUGGGAAUGACAGAUGCUGUACAACUUCCAUCGGCAGUAGCGAUUAUGCACUGCAAAGGACAUCAGAAAGAUAACACUGACAGGGAAGUGG